AUUGAACGCCGGCGGCAGGCCUAACACAUGCAAGUCGAACGGUAACAGGAAACAGCUUGCUGUUUCGCUGACGAGUGGCGGACGGGUGAGUAAUGUCUGGGAAACUGCCUGAUGGAGGGGGAUAACUACUGGAAACGGUAGCUAAUACCGCAUAACGUCGCAAGACCAAAGAGGGGGACCCUCGGGCCUCUUGCCAUCGGAUGUGCCCAGAUGGGAUUAGCUUGUUGGUGGGGUAACGGCUCACCAAGGCGACGAUCCCUAGCUGGUCUGAGAGGAUGACCAGCCACACUGGAACUGAGACACGGUCCAGACUCCUACGGGAGGCAGCAGUGGGGAAUAUUGCACAAAGGGCGCAAGCCUGAUGCAGCCAUGCCGCGUGUAUGAAGAAGGCCUUCGGGUUGUAAAGUACUUUCAGCGGGGAGGAAGGGAGUAAAGUUAAUACCUUUGCUCAUUGACGUUACCCGCAGAAGAAGCACCGGCUAACUCCGUG
rnacentral:rRNA from 1 species